rnacentral:rRNA from 1 species
UACGUAGGGACCAAGCGUUGUUCGGAGUUACUGGGCGUAAAGCGUGCGUAGGCGGUGGUCCAAGUCUGGUGUGAAAUCUCCCGCUUAACUGGGAGGGUGCGCCGGAAACUGGGCCGCUGGAGUACGGGAGAGGCAAGCGGAAUUCCAGGUGUAGCGGUGAAAUGCGUAGAUAUCUGGAGGAACACCCGUGGUGCAGACGGCUUGCUGGACCGUGACUGACGCUGAGGCACGAAAGCGUGGGUAGCAAACAGG